GAUGAACGCUGGCGGCGUGCCUAAUACAUGCCAGUCGAGCGAACGGACGAGAAGCUUGCUUUUCUGAUGUUAGCGGCGGACGGGUGAGUAACACGUGGAUAACCUACCUAUAAGACUGGGAUAACUUCGGGAAACCGGAGCUAAUACCGGAUAAUAUUUUGAACCGCAUGGUUCAAAAGUGAAAGACGGUCUUGCUGUCACUUAUAGAUGGAUCCGCGCUGCAUUAGCUAGUUGGUAAGGUAACGGCUUACCAAGGCAACGAUGCAUAGCCGACCUGAGAGGGUGAUCGGCCACACUGGAAAUGAGACACGGUCCAGACUCCUACGGGAGGCAGCAGUAGGGAAUCUUCCGCAAUGGGCGAAAGCCUGACGGAGCAACGACGCGUGAGUGAUGAAGGUCUUCGGAUCGUAAAACUCUGUUAUUAGGGAAGAACAUAUGUGUAAGUAACUGUGCACAUCUUGACGGUACCUAAUCAGAAAGCCACGGCUAACUACGUG
rnacentral:rRNA from 1 species